rnacentral:snoRNA from 1 species
UUGCAUGUGGAAAUGUCUGCAUAUUCCUUUAGGCACAGGAACUCACCGCUAACACGCUACAGGACCAUAGUUCUCAGGGUUACCAACCUCACAGUAGAAGCUGAAUAGGAGGAGGCUUUCAAGAAAGAA